rnacentral:rRNA from 1 species
GACGAACGCUGGCGGCGUGCUUAACACAUGCAAGUCGAGCGGUAAGGCUCUUUCGGGGGUACACGAGCGGCGAACGGGUGAGUAACACGUGGGUGACCUGCCCUUAGCUCUGGGAUAAGCCUGGGAAACUGGGCCUAAUACCGGAUAUGACUCCAUAACGCAUGUUGUGGGGUGGAAAGCCUUGUGCGGCUAGGGAUGGGCCCGCGGCCUAUCAGCUUGUUGGUGGGGUGAUGGCCUACCAAGGCGACGACGGGUAGCCGGCCUGAGAGGGCGACCGGCCACACUGGGACUGAGACACGGCCCAGACUCCUACGGGAGGCAGCAGUGGGGAAUCUUGCGCAAUGGGCGAAAGCCUGACGCAGCGACGCCGCGUGGGGAUGACGGCCU